AGCAAGAUGGUGUAGUGGUCAAGACACGCCCCUCCAUCUCAUGCAGUGUCAAGGUGCGGGUUCGAAUCCCGCUUGCGCUA